GAUGAACGCUGGCGGCGUGCCUAAUACAUGCAAGUCGAGCGAACAGACGAGGAGCUUGCUCCUCUGACGUUAGCGGCGGACGGGUGAGUAACACGUGGAUAACCUACCUAUAAGACUGGGAUAACUUCGGGAAACCGGAGCUAAUACCGGAUAAUAUAUUGAACCGCAUGGUUCAAUAGUGAAAGACGGUUUUGCUGUCACUUAUCGAUGGAUCCGCGCCGCAUUAGCUAGUUGGUAAGGUAACGGCUUACCAAGGCAACGAUGCGUAGCCGACCUGAGAGGGUGAUCGGCCACACUGGAACUGAGACACGGUCCAGACUCCUACGGGAGGCAGCAGUAGGGAAUCUUCCGCAAUGGGCGAAAGCUUGACGGAGCAACGCCGCGUGAGUGAUGAAGGUCUUCGGAUCGUAAAACUCUGUUAUUAGUGAAGAACAAAUGUGUAAGUAACUAUGCACGUCUUGACGGUACCUAAUCAGAAAGCCACGGCUAACUACGUG
rnacentral:rRNA from 1 species